UUGGAGGGCAAGUCUGGUGCCAGCAGCCGCGGUAAUUCCAGCUCCAAUAGCGUAUAUUAAAGUUGUUGCAGUUAAAAAGCUCGUAGUUGAAUUUCGGGAUCAAUUUAUUGGUCGUGCCAACGGUACGCACUGGUACAAUUGGUUUCUCCCUUCUGACGAAGCAUGAUGUCAUUAAUUUGAUGUCGUGGGGAAUCAGGACUGUUACUUUGAAAAAAUUAGAGUGUUUAAAGCAGGCUUUGGCUUGAAUACAUUAGCAUGGAAUAAUGAAAUAGGACGUUUGAUCUUAUUUCGUUGGUUCCUAAGAUCGACGUAAUGAUUAAUAGGGAUAGUUGGGGGCAUUAGUAUUCAAUUGUCAGAGGUGAAAUUCUUGGAUUUAUUGAAGACUAACUACUGCGAAAGCAUUUGCCAAGGAUGUUUUCAUUAAUCAAGAACGAAAGUUAGGGGAUCGAAGACGAUCAGAUACCGUCGUAGUCUUAACCAUAAACUAUGCCGACUAGGGAUCGGAUGAUGUUAAUUUUUUAAUGACUCAUUCGGCGCCUUACGGGAAAC
rnacentral:rRNA from 1 species